rnacentral:sRNA from 1 species
UUUUUUCAUUUUUUUU